GCCUAGUUAGCUUAGUUGGUAGUGCUGCCUUGUAAGCGCUAGGCCGCGGGUUCGAUUCCCGCCCGGGGCG
rfam:Asian citrus Psyllid, Diaphorina citri - Florida Strain, whole genome shotgun sequence.